rnacentral:rRNA from 1 species
AUUGACCUCAGAUCAGACAAGAUUACCCGCCGAAUUUAAGCAUAUUACUAAGCGGAGGAAAAGAAACUAACAAGGAUUCCCCUAGUAACGGCGAGCGAACCGGGAAGAGCCCAACUUGAAAAUCUGGCAGCUUCGCUGUCCGAAUUGUAGUCUAAAGAAGCGUCCUCUGUAGCGGACCGGGCCCAAGUUCCCUGGAA